ensembl:lncRNA
AGGGAGGGGAGGGGAGGGGUGAGGAGGGGGAGUGGAGCGGGGCGCAGCACCGCCGCACGGCGGGCGCGGUGAGAGCCCGGGCCGGUCGGGAGACAGGAAAGAGCCCGGUUUUCUCUCCCCGAAGUGAGGAUGAGGAGGGGAGGGAGGGAAAGAGGAAGCGUGGGAGGGGGACUGGAGCGCCCUGGAUGGGGCCACAAAGGAGGAAAGCCAGCCAGAGGAGGAGGGGAGAGAAAGCCCGGACCAGCUCCACCUGGGGAACCCCGCGCCGUUGCAGGCACUUUUCUGAACGCACCAAACUCCCAACCCGGAAAGCGAGAGCUGGAAAAAGAGGAGGAGGGAAGGGGAAAAAAAAAAACCUCCACGAACCUGGGAAAAGCAGGAGGCCGCCGCCUACCUGUGGCUCCCCGAACUGGAGCCUCACCCUUCCCGGCCAGCCAAGGUAGCUGCUCCCGGCCCGGCCCCGAGGCCCUCGGUCCAGCGGGACUCCCCAGGGAGAAGCCAGCCCGCCCGGCCUCCUCUGCUCGGCCAAAGGGGCCAAGCAAGAGAGGGGGCACGUCUCGCCUCAGCCCUUACCCCCGCCGUGCUGCGGGCCAGGCCAGAGGUGCUGCUCCAAGAGUUAUGUUUGGAUAAAAGCCAUGCUACCAGUGGUGCAAUGGAAGAAUCAAAGCUAACUGCAGUGGGAAUGGCACCGUGGAGGAAGUGGUAGUUGUGAUGGCCUAAGGAUGUGAUUCAACUGCACACCAACAAUGUGCAACACCUCUUUGCCUCUAAAAGAGGAGCUCUCCUGCCUCUGCUUCCUUCCUUCCAUUCCUGCUCACAGAUGCAUGAUCUGAAUCUUGCUCUGCAAGCAUCUGAAGUCAUCAGUGUGGAAGAGCUGCAGCUCUGCUGCAUAAAAGGAGGCAGCUGAUAUGCUGUUAAAAAAUUGCAGGAACAUGUACUCUUUGCACUUUGAGACACAGCAGUGAGUUGGAUCAUCCUCAGGGGAGGUGAACAGUGGAGACAAUCGAGACUGUGAAUAGAAACACUUGCAAGAGAUCAUAGAGCCUAGGAAAAUACAACUAUAGCACAACAACCCCUUCAGAAUUCAAGUGAUCAUCAGAGGUUUUUGGUCCUGGUGUUCAAUUGAAUAGAGUGCGAAAAGAAGACUGCCAGUCACCGUGGUUGUGUGGAAUCAGAGACAACCUGCCUUUAAGACUCCAAUUCUUGGAAAAUGGAAAGAAUCCCAACCUAUACUUUCCCAAAGAGAAACCAAGUUGCUGAGAAAUUAUCUCAAUGGGUCAAUAACAGUACUCCUGGAAAUUGCCAUACUAAUUUUCUUCAUUUGGUUGAGGCAUUUCUGUGUCUCCUAAGAGAGUGCAUUCUGCUCUUCCACUUCCUUCACAGCAGAAAAACUUCUGAUAUAUUUUUUCAUUGAAAACAUAGAAACAUUUUUCACUAGACCAGGUUUCUCAAAACACCACGCACCCUGACCUUCACCACUUCAAGGGAUGGGGGCAUCCCCAGCUUCUCUUUGCUACUUGGUCCAAUGUCCCAGCACUCUCACCAUGAAAAAUUUCUCCCUUAUAUCUAAUCUAAGUCAUUUAUAACUAUUCCUUAUUACUGAGUUUCAUAGCUACAGGUAUGCAAACAACCAGUGACUGUACAACAGGAAUACACAUGUCAUCAUUUGUGCAAGAAAACCUACAUCUGGAAAAACAAAGGCUGUAGAAAAUAUCAACUGAAAAUCAGAAUAAACACAGACUUUUCAUAGAUGUUGACCA